UUGACCUCGGAUCAGGUAGGAAUACCCGCUGAACUUAAGCAUAUCAAUAAGCGGAGGAAAAGAAACCAACAGGGAUUGCCUCAGUAACGGCGAGUGAAGCGGCAACAGCUCAAAUUUGAAAUCUGGCCGCAAGGUCCGAGUUGUAAUUUGUAGAGGAUGCUUUUGGCAAGGUGCCUUCCGAGUUCCCUGGAACGGGACGCCAUAGAGGGUGAGAGCCCCGUACGGUAGGACCACCGAGCCUCUGUAAAGCUCCUUCGACGAGUCGAGUAGUUUGGGAAUGCUGCUCUAAAUGGGAGGUGUACGUCUUCUAAAGCUAAAUACCGGCCAGAGACCGAUAGCGCACAAGUAGAGUGAUCGAAAGAUGAAAAGCACUUUGAAAAGAGGGUUAAAAAGUACGUGAAAUUGUUGAAAGGGAAGCAUUUAUGACCAGACUUGGGCUUGGUUGAACAUCCGGCGUUCUCGCCGGUGCACUCUGCCAGUCCAGGCCAGCAUCAGUUUGCUCCGGGGGAUAAAGGCGGCGGGAAUGUGGCUCUCUCCGGGGAGUGUUAUAGCCCGCCGUGUAAUGCCCUGGGGCGGACUGAGGAACGCGCUCGGCACGAUGCGGC
rnacentral:rRNA from 1 species